UCUCCUGUGUUUAUGGACUUUGACUUUGUCCAUUAACAUGCAAAAACGAACUUGGCCAAUAUCCAGCCAUCUUGACCUCACUCUUGGUCAAUAACCCAUAUGUAACUGGACUGAGUCGAGGCGCACAAUUCAGGGUGUAAUCUGGUGAGUAAUUUCAAGUCAAAUAAGCAUGAAGAAUGAAGCUCUUUGCUAAUAACUCCAACAAGGACAAAUUUCAAGAUUAAAAAAGUCUUUGGAGAAUUUCUUUUGAGCAAAAAAUUCAGUUGUGUUUUCCGUAAGCUUUUAACACUGUAGGAAACAUUACAUGUUUAAGAAGAAAGCCAUUAAAUUGCGUGCCAGUAAGUGAUGUGUGAAUGGCAUGAGUAUCCAGCACUCCAAGCUGUGACCAUUUUGAUGGCCAUGGUGGGUGACUAAAUUUUUCAAGCAAUCACUGCCAAAUAACAACAUAAAUUAAACAAGGAAACAUCAAGAAAACGCCAUGCAAAGGCUAAAUGUCAUGUGUGUUCAGUGAGCCAGAAAAAGCAUGUUACACUGAGAAAAAAAAAUUGUACAUUCACACAUCUGGAGAAAAAAACUUCUUAGUGCAUGAAAGGGUCUAAAAAAAAUAUGUGCCUGUACCAAAUUACCCAUGCUCCCUGCAAAAGUCAAAUGGUCCACCCCUAACGUAGUUACUUUGAGUCACCCGAGAUCAUACAGUACAUGUACAUUGUUUGUUCCCACAGUUUGAAACACAUCAAACCGAAAGACAGGACAUGACGAUAUCAACAUGAAAACUAUGAUUGGUAGAUGCAAACCAGAAAGCUGUGCUGUGUGCUCAGACUUGUGUGGAGAAAGAUUCAUAUUGAAGCAAUAGAUACCAUAUCAGUUUCUUACUAAAUACAAAACAGAGAAGCAAGGAAAAGAGCUAUGAGCUACUCAAGAGGAGAAAAAAUUGAAUGGAGACACUGGAUCCCAAUAGUAGGUACAAAACAGAAA